CUUCCCAUUUAUUUGCUGCUCUCGUCUCUCGGUGAUAUGAGUGGUUAUACGCAUGGGGUAAAGUAACACUGGACCACUGUAAAAGGAGGUGGAGCAAUCAUUUCAUCUCUUGUCCGUGGUCUAGACAUCG
rnacentral:snoRNA from 1 species